CGGUAAGCUUCGUUUUUUCGUAAUUGUUUGGCCCCCCGAGGGCCCUAGGGUUGUUUUAUCGCAGGGACCGAUGCAAGUGUUGUCGAAUUCGGCCGAAAACGGCCAACCCGAGGUGAAUCGCCGUCGCCGGAAUUGCGAUAUUGGCCGAAAGGGGCCCUGGGUCUAAUUUGGGAUUUUUCGGUACACGAGCAGGUACCACUAGUGCGUUUCAGUUCCCCGAAAAAAAUUCAG
rnacentral:lncRNA from 1 species